UACGUAGGGGGCAAGCGUUGUCCGGAUUCAUUGGGCGUAAAGAGCGUGUAGGCGGCCAGGUAGGUCGGUUGUGAAAACUGGAGGCUCAACCUUCAGAGGUCGACCGAAACCAUCUGGCUAGAGUCCGGGAGAGGAGAGUGGAAUCCUGGUGUAGCGGUGAAAUGCGCAGAUAUCAGGAAGAACACCCGUGGCGAAAGCGGCUCUCUGGAACGGUACUGACGCUGAGACGCGAAAGCGUGGGGAGCGAACAGG
rnacentral:rRNA from 1 species